GUGGGGAAUCUUGCGCAAUGGGCGAAAGCCUGACGCAGCCAUGCCGCGUGAAUGAUGAAGGUCUUAGGAUUGUAAAAUUCUUUCACCGGGGACGAUAAUGACGGUACCCGGAGAAGAAGCCCCGGCUAACUUCGUGCCAGCAGCCGCGGUAAUACAAAGGGGGCUAGCGUUGCUCGGAAUUACUGGGCGUAAAGGGCGCGUAGGCGGACAGUUUAGUCAGAGGUGAAAGCCCAGGGCUCAACCUUGGAAUUGCCUUUGAUACUGGCUGUCUUGAGUACAGGAGAGGUGAGUGGAACUCCGAGUGUAGAGGUGAAAUUCGUAGAUAUUCGGAAGAACACCAGUGGCGAAGGCGACUCACUGGCCCAAUACUGACGCUGAGGCGCGAAAGCGUGGGGAGCAAACAGGAUUAGAUACCCGUGUAGUCC
rnacentral:rRNA from 1 species